rnacentral:lncRNA from 1 species
UGCCCGCUAGACAUGUACACUUAACAAUUAUUCCAUACAACAAAUAUAGUAGACCUAUUGCAUAUGGUAUGAGAAAAACAGACCAAAACACAAAAAUUUAACUAUAACCACUGAACCAUGAAAAUGAAGUCAAGGUCAGAUGACACCUGCCAGUUGGACAUGUACACCUUACAGUCCUUCCAUACACCGAAUAUACUAGCCCUAUUGCUUAUAGUAUC